CCUUUAAGGACUAACCUGAUGACCCCUUAACCUCAUCCCUCCCAUGCUGCGGAACAGGCCUACAAUGACCAUCUAUGUAGAGGAUAUCUGCAUGCCACUGGUGGAUGUUGGCCUUUCAAGUCCAAUAAGUGCUGUGAAAUAUCAACUGUGUACAUGCCCCUGCAUAACCUGUGUCUGGAUUCAAACGUUCCACUGAUAGAGGAAUUGGUUGGAAAUGUGGUGGAACCGGAAGUUAUGAACAACACACCAGUACAUCGAGCAGCAUGUGAUAAGAGGCAGCAGCUGAUCAAACUGUUUCAUAAAAUGUGUUAAAAUUUAUAGUUAUAAAUGUUAUAAAGUGAUAGAUGGCUCGAGUCUUCUCUGAAUAGGCAGAGCUACACUACUCAGCCAAAUGGCGUAAAGUUGUGUCAUAGCUGAUUUGGAAGGAUUGGUAUUCCUGGUCGUCUAGACACAAUAGUUACAACAGCUGAUGUUUGCAUGUUUUAUAAUUGUGUAUGCAUAAUUUGUCUAAUAUUUACUUCAAGGUUAUAGGUUUGUGAAAGAAAAAAAAUGUCAAUGUUCUGAGGACCAAUAAAAAAAGUUAUGUGUUAGGUAUUACCAAGUGCUUGAUUUAAUAUUUAUUUUAAAGGGAACUUUUCCUAAAUUUUGGCAGAUAUUCAAGUUUUUCAUUAAACGCCUUUAUAUUGAUACAUGUAAACACUGGAUCUAAAAAGCUCCAGUAAAAAAGAAUACAAUUAAAGAAAGAUAAAAAGUAACUCCUACAGGGCUCAAACCACUGACCCCUGAAGUAAAAGCCUCACACUAAGACCACUUGUCCGUCCAUGUUGAUACAAUGAGUGAUGUAUUUUACACUUUAUAUAAGCAAUCCUCAUCGUGUCACAAAAUAUUACGACAACAACAGAACUCUACAAAUUAUUCAAUCGUCGAGUGUUGCAGCAGAUAGUUGCAACGCUUUAAAAUUUUCAAGUUUUUAAAUCGUCAAAAGUUGCAUAUAAUGGAUAUUUUAGAGCAUGGUAAAUGUUCAGUAUUACUGUUUCCUCACAAAUAUCAUAACUACAACAAAUGUUUGCGAAUCUUAAACUUAUUUUUUUAAAUUUAGUCAAUUUACCAAAACUGGAAAAGGUCCCUUGAAUAUUGAACAGUUAUCUGAGCUCCAGAAAAGAUCAUAUACUCAAGGUACUUUUCCCUAUUAACAAUUAUUCAAGUGAUAUUUUACCCACUGACUUUCGCUCUAAAAGGUGUUCUCUGUAAUGAACAUUCUCAAAGCCACAUUAAAACAAGGGCUGUUAGUAAAACAUGCAUGCCCCCCAUUUGGGCUGUCAGUUGUAGUGGCAGUCAUUGUGUGAAAACGUUUUUUGUCACUGUGAACUUGACCUUCGACUUAGUGACCUGAAAAUCAAUAGGAGUCAUCUGCCAGACAUGAUCAAUGUACCUACGAAGUUUCAUAAUCCUAGCUGUUGGCAUUCUUGAGUUACCAUCCGGAAACCAUUUUACUAUUUUGAGUCACCGUGACCUUGACAUUUGACCUAGUGACCUGAAAAUCAAUAGGGGUCAUCUGCAAGUCAUGAUCAAUGUACCUAUGAAGUUUCAUGAUCCUAGGCGUAAGCAUUCUUAAUUCAUCAUCUGGAAAUCAUUUUACUGUUUCAACUCACUGUGACCUUGACCUUUGACUUAGUGACCUGACAAUCAAUAGGGAUCAUCUGCCAGUCAUGAUUAAUCUACCUAUGAAGUUUCAUGAUCCUAUGUCCUAAGAUUUCUUGAGUUAUCUAUCAUCCGGAAACCAUCUGGUGGACAGACCGACCAAGCAAAACAAUAUACCCCCUCUUCUUUGAAGGGGGGCAUAAAAAGUGGGCUUGUAAAUGUAACGGUACUUUAUAAUAAUAAGUGUGCUGUCUAUAAAUAUGGAUAUUAUUGUCAUAAAAAAAUAGAAGUUUUCCAAUAUAUUAGAUUGUUUCCGAAUGUAUUUACUAAACUUUACCCCUUUAUGAGUCUCUGUUCAAUUAUUUAGUCAUCUACCGUUAAAAUGUUGUUUACCUGUGCAUUUUUUUGUAUUUUUAUUGAAAUGUUUAUGAUAAUAAUGUUUAUGGUAUUUGAUAACAGUUGCUAUUACACUAGUUUUCAAUGAAUAAAACACAAAGAACA